AGUUCCGAGGUGUUCUACACAUUAGAUUGCAAAUCUUAAGUGGCUGGCUGACCCCAGCCGGAACUU
rnacentral:tRNA from 1 species